AGGAAGGAGGAGGGGGAGGAAUCUUGCAAUCUGAAUAAAAACAUCUUUGGGCCUCAUUUGCGCCCCAGGCCCCCCAGGCUCCGCCAGGCUGGUGGGGUGGAGGUGCAGGCAGUGGUGGAGAGCUGAGUCCUGGACUGGCCUAGCAGACCCCAGUCCUGGCUGCACGGCCUCAACCACGUGACUUUGAGGGGCAGCUCCUCCUCUUGACACCCCAGCUGUUCACCCGCACAGCCUGGAGCCCACCCUGCUGUCGGGGCUGCGGUGAGAAUCUGCUGAGGGCCUGUGUUGCAGGGUCUGGUGUCGCCCAGGGAAGUUCUGCACCAGGUCGAAUCUCCAGGCCUCCUAUUGUGUUUUAAUCACAGCCUACCUGUCUAGACCUAGUGUGUCCUACAGGGUGUGCGGUGGCCAGGCCCCAGGGGGCCCCAGGGACCCUCAACUCCCAGCAUCUGUCACCUCCUGCCCUCCCGUGGUCUUCUGGGCUUGGUCUGUGCAACCCACAGCCCUUGGUGGGAGUGUUGGUGUGUGGCUUCCUGGGCGCCCAGGGCCCCUCGGCGGGGCUGGUUAGAACCGGUACUGUGGCACAGACAGCAGCUGGUGCCAGGUGGCCCUGGCCGGAGACACUCAGGGUACAUGGACGUGCAAAGAUAGCAGGCAGCCGAACACCUGUCACCGUCCCAUGUCACGUAAGGGGAGCAGUGCACAUCGGCACUGGCCGUGUGAGCCUGUGGUGUGUAAAUUCCUCCAGGGAACGGGUUCACCAGCCCUGCGGAGAGCCGUGCGUGCAGCUGGCACGGGGGGUCCCUGAGGAGAUCCUGGCCCUGCUGUGCUUGACUCCGCGGGGGACGCUCAGCCCUCCUCGACAGAUGGUCCUGCCCUCCUCUCUCUCUCCCUGCCUGCCGUGCGCCCGCCCUCACUGUGGCCUCUGGACUCCUGCUGGAGUCUCCUUGAUGACAUUUAAGUCACAGCUCCACCUGGAAUUCAACUUGGGCUCAGACACCCCAACCCUCUGGGAUGGAAAAGAAGAAAAUGGAGAGUGUGGGGCAGACGCGGCCGAGCCGAGGGCAGGUCAGCACAGCCUCAUGUCCGGCAGAGGGUGUCCAGGUUCUUGGCACCAUGAACAAAGAAUUGGACAAAAUGCACAAAGCAACGGAAGAAGGACGCAGCAAAGGCAGAGAUGUGUGGAACAUGAACGCGCACUCCACAGUGGGAGCCGGGCUGAGCACAGGGGCUCGGGAGCCCUGUUACAGAACUGCCUGGGGUCUAAAUAUGCUCCAGAGGUUUCCACUGGUUACUUGGUAUAUGCCCUAUGUAAACGGAGAGGUUAUUUCCUGUCGUAGCUGAUGUGUUUCCAUUUGAUUUUGUUCUACGGAGUCAGCGUGAAAUAGCCUUAGGUUCCCAGGCUCCAGAUCCUCUUCUCCCUCACUGGGUCCCAGUCAUUGCCCCAUUGUCUGGAUCUCGGAGGCUGCCCCUGGUGCUGGCUGAAGCCCAACCACCAUCCCCGAAGGCCGCUCCUUCCCAGGAUGUCCAGAGGCUCUCGGUGCGUCGUUUCCCAGGUGGCCCCUGACGACUGAGGGCUCCAGGCUCUGCACAGUCCACGCUGCCACUGGGAUCGGAAGGGCAGAUUCCUCCCUCCUUCCGUCACUCAUUCACUCACCAAUGGGGCACCUGCCAUGGGCCAGGAGCAGAGUAGAGGGUGUUGGAAGCGAACCCAUGGGUGGGCGGUCGGGUGGGGAGGGAAGCCUGCCUGCCUCUGCCCACAGGAGCCCAGGCCUGACACGGCACCAGGACACAGGCCCCUGCCCCACACGGCAGCAUGGAUUCCCACGGCCCAGGCCUGGCAUGGUUCAGAGGAGGACGUGGACACCAGGUCCACUGGGGGCUGCCUGGACACCCUGGAAACUGUGUGCACCACCCGGGUGGCCGUGGGAGUGCGGCGCUCAGCCUGAGAAGGACCCAGCGUCGGAAGCCCCUGCAGGCGCCAGAGCCGGCCCUCGGACACUUCACCAAAGGAAACUGCAGCCUCGUCUGGGCUCCGACGGCCCUUCCUUGAGGUCUUGCCGUUUCUCUCAUUUGGUGGAAGAGGUCACGGCCUGUGGCACCCAGGCCCCGGCUUUGACGGCGAUGCUGAGCCCCGAACCCCCGGCCUCAGCCUCAUCUUGCCAAGAGGAUGAUCCUGUGGAAAGGUGAAGUCGCUCCCGAAAUUGGGGGGCGGCUCUGAGCCCCCAGUUGGGUUUGCUAAGGCUUGGACCGGUGCUGCCAAAGGCCCUUCCGACCACGUCAUGGGCAGGGCGCAGGGCCAGAGCCAGGGCCACCCUGCAAGAGCCAAGCCCCUGGAGACCACUGCCGGUGGGGAAAUUGGGGAAAUAGGUGCUCUGGAGGUAUUUGGGGGAAGGGUGAAGGAGGAGCCGACUGCAGCCCAGGCCCCCCUGCCCCCGCUUGCUGGGGUUGGGACCUCGGCUCCUCUGCCCCAGUGGGAUCAGCUGCUCCAAGCCCCGCCACAGUCGGGAGGCCCUUGGAGGGGCUCAGGGAGCAGAGCCCGCUGUGGUGGGUGGGGCAGCCUUGGUAGUGGAGGGGGCUCCUGAACCGCCCAUUCUCUGGGGCACUUGCCUCCCUCCUGUGCCCUAGGCAAGAUACCAGAGGAGGGGGCUUGGAGGCCCCAGGCCUGAUUGGACGCCGCCCUCAGCAGUGAGUAAAAAGCCGUGGGGUGAGGCCGAGGCUGGUGGCUGGCCUGGGCCGUCCCAAGCCUCGGUCCCACUGAAUCAUCACACGCACCCUGCACGAAAGGGAAACUGAGGCCUAGAGAGGCAGGGCUGAUCCAAGGUCACCCAGGGUCUCCUGGCUGGGUUGGGCUGCCUGACCCUGACCCUGGGCUCUUCAGCCCCGCACCACAUCCCUCUCGGACUGGGACCCAGGCACCCUCUGGGCCUCCGUGGUCCUGUGUGAGCUCCAGCCGUGGCCGUGUCAGAGGCCGGAGUUCUGUGUCUGCUCUGGUACUUCCUGCCACGGAGCCCGACUUGCCCGGGCUCCCUGCUCCUCAGAGGCUCCACUUAGACACAGGUGUGCUGGGUGCGAGAGGCCGUGCAUAGGGCACAGCUGCUCUGGGCAGGGAAGUGCUACUGCAGUGUGGGCCCCUCCUCCCUUGGGUCUCCUCCCUUCUGUCUCCUGAUGCCUCCCCGCCCCUGUCCUCUCCAUCCACCUCUGUCCUCUGUCUCCCAGCCCAGACAUCAUCCUGGCAGGAGAAGGACCCUGUGGGGUGCACUCUGCCCCUCACUCCCACCCCAGCCUGUGACCUAAGAGCUCCGGAUGGGACAUCCAAAGGCGUGACCUCCUGUUGGCUCCUACAUCUGGGGCCAUAUGCCCCAAGGUCCCACGUGCCCUGGCCAGCGCCCCUUGGAGCCCUCACCCGCCCUCCCUGACUCCCUAGGGAGAGUGUGGACCGCCCCGCCUGCUGCAGAGGCCUGGGCAGCCAGCCCAGAGGGCUCACCUCAUCUAUUUUUAAGCACAAGCCCAUGAAAGAUUCACAGGCUGCUUUAUUUACAGGUGGUGGGAAUGGCAUUGCGCCCAGCACACCCACCAGGAGGCCGGACAACCCGUUGGCCAGGGCUGGGCGCGGUGGCUCACAUCUGUAAUCCUAGCACUUCGGGAGGCCGAAGCGGGCAGAUCACUUGAGGUCAAGAGUUUGAGACCAGCCUGGCCAACAUGACAAAACCCUGUCUCUAUUAAAAAUACAAAAAUUAGCCGGGUGUGGUGUCGGGCGCCUGUAAUCCCAGCUACUCAAGAGGUUGAGGUA